AGGACCGGACCUCCUGACCUCUGGAUCGAUUCCAGCUCACAUGAGCACGCGAUGACUCGAGCUGUCGAGCAGAGGCGACGGCGACCCAAGCAGAAGCAACGACGAGGCGGCGCGAGGAGACCAUGGAGUAGCACGGGGCGACCACGGAGCAGCGUGAGGCAACUGCAGGGCGACGCCCUUCUCCUUCCUCGUCCUUCUCGCCGAAGCAACAGACUCAGCUAAUCGAUUUGCAUGCCCAUCAAAUAUUUCCUCUCUCCCUCUCACCCUGAGAUUUCUCCACCACCAUUUAGAGUUGGCGAAGGUGAACCUCCGCCUUCGUGGGAUCCGGUACCAACUCCAGAAGGUACUCUAGAAUAUUUAGCUUCUAUAUGAACUAGAUCAGGAAGCAACUUUGAUUUGGCUCAAGAAUGCGAUGGUCUAACAGGGAGGAGGCAAUGAUCAAGAAACAUUGGAUUGGACAAAGUGCCUGGACACAUGAGUAGGCUUAGAUGAGUUAUCAACUGGUUAAAUUAUGCUUUGGAUUUGAAAAGAUUGUAAUUUCAUGAGUGGAUCAUGACAGUCUUUUGGUGCACCUUUUGCCAAUUUUGACAGUAGCUAGCAUGUCUUUAUAUGUGGUUGCACAUUAUCUGUGCCCAUUAUCUCUAUAUGCAUGAUGAGAGACUUGCAGAUAAAGAACUCCAAAACAUUGAAGAUUUAUUUAUUUUAUUUUGUUGCAA